rnacentral:rRNA from 1 species
CCUACGGGGGGCUGCAGUCGAGAAUCAUUCACAAUGGGGGAAACCCUGAUGGUGCGACGCCGCGUGGGGGAAUGAAGGUCUUCGGAUUGUAAACCCCUGUCAUGUGGGCGCAAAUUAAAAAGAUAGUACCACAAGAGGAAGAGACGGCUAACUCUGUGCCAGCAGCCGCGGUAAUACAGAGGUCUCAAGCGUUGUUCGGAAUCACUGGGCGUAAAGCGUGCGUAGGCUGUUUCGUAAGUCGUGGGUGAAAGGCGCGGGCUCAACCCUCGGACGGCACAUGAUACUGCGAGACUAGAGUGAUGGAGGGGGAACCGGAAUUCUCGGUGUAGCAGUGAAAUGCGUAGAUAUCGAGAGGAACACUCGUGGCGAAGGCGGGUUCCUGGACAUUAACUGACGCUGAGGCACGAAGGCCAGGGGAGCGAAAGGGAUUAGAUACCCGGGUAGUC